GUUGCGGUUGUUGAUGAUCUCGAUUUAAGAUAGGAGGUUCCUGUGACGCGUUUGGGUUAUGGAAUUGCGUUUUGAGGAUAUGGGUGCUGAAGUCACGAAGAGUUUAUUUAUUUGUUGUUGAGAUGUUCUGUAUUGCUUCAGAUUAUUAUUUUUGUACCCUCGCCUUUAUCUUGAUUUAUUUUGUAAGAGAGGUAGGAAUUGUAUUAGAUAAUGCUUGUGAUAUUAUUUAUAUCUAUGUAUAUAUAUAUAUGAAUGUACUUUU